AUUGAACGCUGGCGGCAGGCCUAACACAUGCAAGUCGAACGGUAACAGGAAGAAGCUUGCUUCUUUGCUGACGAGUGGCGGACGGGUGAGUAAUGUCUGGGAAACUGCCUGAUGGAGGGGGAUAACUACUGGAAACGGUAGCUAAUACCGCAUAACGUCGCAAGACCAAAGAGGGGGACCUUCGGGCCUCUUGCCAUCGGAUGUGCCCAGAUGGGAUUAGCUAGUAGGUGGGGUAACGGCUCACCUAGGCAACGAUCCCUAGCUGGUCUGAGAGGAUGACCAGCCACACUGGAACUGAGACACGGUCCAGACUCCUACGGGAGGCAGCAGUGGGGAAUAUUGCACAAUGGGCGCAAGCCUGAUGCAGCCAUGCCGCGUGUAUGAAGAAGGCCUUCGGGUUGUAAAGUACUUUCAGCGGGGAGGAAGUGAGUAAAGUUAAUACCUUUGCUCAUUGACGUUACCCGCAGAAGAAGCACCGGCUAACUCCGUG
rnacentral:rRNA from 1 species